rnacentral:rRNA from 1 species
UCGGACAUCAGGAGGUUAGUGCAAUGGCAUAAGCCAGCUUGACUGCGAGCGUGACGGCGCGAGCAGGUGCGAAAGCAGGUCAUAGUGAUCCGGUGGUUCUGAAUGGAAGGGCCAUCGCUCAACGGAUAAAAGGUACUCCGGGGAUAACAGGCUGAUACCGCCCAAGAGUUCAUAUCGACGGCGGUGUUUGGCACCUCGAUGUCGGCUCAUCACAUCCUGGGGCUGAAGUAGGUCCCAAGGGUAUGGCUGUUCGCCAUUUAAAGUGGUACGCGAGCUGGGUUUAGAACGUCGUGAGACAGUUCGGUCCCUAUCUGCCGUGGGCGCUGGAGAACUGAGGGGGGCUGCUCCUAGUACGAGAGGACCGGAGUGGACGCAUCACUGGUGUUCGGGUUGUCAUGCCAAUGGCACUGCCCGGUAGCUAAAUGCGGAAGAGAUAAGUGCUGAAAGCAUCUAAGCACGAAACUUGCCCCGAGAUGAGUUCUCCCUGAGACUUAAAGUCUCCUGAAGGAACGUUGAAGACGACGACGUUGAUAGGCCGGGUGUGUAAGCGCAGCGAUGCGUUGAGCUAACCGGUACUAAUGAACCGUGAGGCUUAACCUUACAACGCCGAAG